rnacentral:rRNA from 1 species
UACGAACUGCGCGAACGUUAUUCGGAAUCACUGGGCUUACAGGGUGCGUAGGCGGCCUACCAGGUCAGGUGUGAAAUCCCACAGCUCAACUGUGGAACUGCAUUUGAAACCGGCAGGCUUGAGUGGACUAGAGGUAAACGGAACUUCAGGUGGAGCGGUGAAAUGUGUUGAGAUCUGAAGGAACACCAGAGGCGAAAGCGGUUUACUGGAGUUUGGCUGACGCUGAGGCACGAAAGCCAGGGGAGCGAACGGG